rnacentral:sRNA from 1 species
UUGCCUUAAUAUUGAAAUGUUUUUUCGC